GACGAACCGUGCGAACGUUGUUCGGAAUCACUGGGCUUAAAGGGCGCGUAGGCGGACCGUCUAGUCAGUGGUGAAAUCCCCCGGCUCAACCGGGGAACUGCCUUUGAUACUGGCGGUCUGGAGUAGGGUAGGGGCAUGCGGAACUGAUGGUGGAGCGGUGAAAUGUGUUGAUAUCAUCAGGAACUCCGGUGGCGAAAGCGGCGUGCUGGACCCCUACUGACGCUGAGGCGCGAAAGCCAGGGGAGCAAACAGG
rnacentral:rRNA from 1 species